ensembl:lncRNA
UUACGCCGCUUGGAGGACUAGCUGAGCAUUGGUCAAGGGGUGGUGAGCAAGUGCUUCUGCAUCCCCUGUUAUUUACAUUCACACAUAUACAUACAGUCAUAACUAUUAUCCUUUUCUCUAUCUUAGUAAAUAGUUUUAUCUCAACCCACAAGCCCACAAAUUCUAUUUCUUUUUUCUUUUUUCCUGAUUUUUUCCCCCAUCACACAGGGAAGGAGGGCAGUGAGCAAACCACUGCAUGGUGCUCACUCACCUGCCAGGUAAAACCACAGCAAUCAGUGCAAUAGGUCUGGUUCAAUGCCCACAGAAAGAGACAAGCUCUAAUUGUAAAAAUUCUGGCUAACCAGGGUUUCUGUAAGCUAGUAUAUAUAGAGCGUAAACCUAAGCCCAGAAUGAACUUAGAUCUGUCUUGGAUGUAUUUUAGAGAAAAUUGGUUAAGUCUAACGCCACAUAUAAAGAAUAGAUGAUACAUAUUAGUAGCAGAGACAAGUGUAUAUCCUUUAGUCUAUGUAUUAAAUAAUACAUCUUCAGAAAAAAGGUAUUCAUGUCUAAGGAAAAACCUACAACAUAACAUCUCCAAGAAUUUCAAGUGGUAAUUAUUCUUUCGGAUAAGUAUUAAAAGACAUUGAAAUGAAUGCAUACCUCCUGUUACACUCAGAAUUCUACCAGUAGAAGACAGCUAGUAUCAAAGUAGGGAAAAAGUGAGUGGAUCAGAGAUCUGAAUAGUCUCUUCAUAAAGAUGUAGCUUAAUAUCUCGCUUAUAUCCAAUUUGGGAAGGCUUCCUCCAGAAAUAUAGUAUCAUCGUUAAAGGUUGAAAGAGAUCUCAGGAGGUCUCUAGUCUAACCCUCUCCUCAAAACAGGAUCAGUUCUAAUGUCAGACCAAGUUACUUAGGUCUCUAACUGGUCUGAUCUUGAAACCUCCAUGGCUGGAGACUGCACAGCCUUUGGCCAUCUCAUUCCGCUGCUUGAGUGACCUGAUGCCAUGAGUCCAGAACCACUGCAGGAGUACCAAUGAAAAAAUCUGAUUUCACAAACUGCCUCCAAAUCACCCUGAGGAAACACCAUUUACGUAUACUGUGCAGCUUGCAUUUUAUUUACUUCUUCUUUAAAGGAGAGCUCACUAGGUGAAUAUAAUUAUUAACUAUUACUUUUGGUAGAGGCUCCCUCAACACCUAAGCAAACAAUAUACUUUAUCAUAUUUUGAACAUUUCUUAACCAAGAGAGGUAGAAAGAGUUUUCUAAUUUAUGUAAAUGCUAAGGUCACCACCUGAAUGCGAAAGCACGAAGUUACUGACUUAGGCCUUAAUCUGAUCUAAUCUUAGAUGCAUCUGUCCCCACUGAAAAGCAUAACAGUGCCUGGACAUUAGAUGGCUGCUGCAGAAUCUGCUGCUAUGUUCACCCUAUUCCACGGAUGGAACACAUCCCCUGGACAUACCUCCAGUGCCAUCUCCUCACGAAGAUGUUUAUAAUAUUCAUGGUUUCUUACUGAGGACUCAAAAAAACCCUGAAUGCUAGGAAUUUGCUGUCAGUAAAGGAGGAAUUAAACUUGCUUUGAGAUCCCCCUCAAAAUCUCAUAAAAUAUGCUGCAUCCUUGUAGAGCAUAAACCAUUAAGAAGACUUCUAAUAUUUUGUAAGAUGCCAAGAAAUCAUUUACCAUCAAGAGAAACUUGCUUAUGUGUAGGAAUUGCAUAGUUUAUUUUGUAAAAAGGAGUAUAAUAAAAUCUAACAGAGAAGGGAAAUCAAGAUAUCUGUGGAAGUCUUUUUCACUGUUGCCAUAGUAACCCCCUUAAUAAGCUGGUAACCUUGGUUAGGGACAACCCCAUAGGCAAAUCUACUGUAAAAAUUUCUGUCAAAAUGAAU